CCCCUCCCAGGAGGCCCCCACCAUCUCGCCACCUGCCCUGAUCCACCCGCUGUGACGCGCCCUCCCCGGAGCCCCCACGCGUGCCGCCGGUUCCUGCGGCCGCCUCACGCCUCCACCACCAACCGUCGUUGCUCUCCCCGUCCCUUACCUCUGGUCAAACCCGCACUUCUCCCCUCCGGUGAGCCUUCUCUCGCCCUCUUCCUUCGGUUAACUCCCCAUGAUCCUCCCGCUAGUCGCCGCCUGGUUCGUCCUGUGCGCCGGUGGAACGAGCGCGUCCAUGCGCGACCCUCGGACCACCAUCGCAGCCCACCCCUUCGAUGGCCAUUCUUGUUCUUCAAGCUCCCGGAUCCCGCAGACGUCGUCUUCCCCAACCCACCUCCACGGUGCGAACGCUGUUCACCUGGACGUUUCCGAUGUCGGUGCAGUUGCCGUUUGCAAGAUCCCGUCGAUCCAUUGGUUCGAUCAACCAAGUUCUGGUUGUCUGGAAAUUGAAGUUCACGGAGAACAAGGGGUGAAAAAAAAUACAAAGAGUUUUUGCAUAUAAAAAUAAGGCAUGCUGAGUCUGGCUCUUUGACUGUAGAAUUAAGAUACAGUGAUCGCUGGCAAAAAUGGCUCCCCUGCGCAUGAUGUUGUGGACGCGUCUUGCAGGGAUCUCGGUCUCCCUUCAGAUUUUGUUGCUUCCAUGCCCUACUUGUUUCUUGUGUGAUUUUGUCUCUCUUCAGGAUUUUAAUGCAUGUUAAAUAAUGCACUCGACCUGAACUUUUUCUUUUGUGAUUUGGUCAAUAUUUUCUAUGAUCCAUUUGGUAUAGCUUUCUAUGAUUUUAUGGAGCUUUGUACAACACUUC